UACGUAGGGGGCAAGCGUUGUCCGGAUUUACUGGGCGUAAAGAGCGUGUAGGCGGCCACGCAGGUCCGUUGUGAAAACUGGAGGCUCAACCUUCAGACGUCGACGGAAACCGUGUGGCUAGAGUCCGGAAGAGGAGAGUGGAAUUCCUGGUGUAGCGGUGAAAUGCGCAGAUAUCAGGAAGAACACCGAUGGCGAAGGCAGCCUCCUGGGCCAACACUGACGCUCAUGCACGAAAGCGUGGGGAGCAAACAGG
rnacentral:rRNA from 1 species